rnacentral:rRNA from 1 species
GGACGAACGCUGGCGGCGUGCCUAAUACAUGCAAGUUGAGCGCAACAAAGACACCAGAGCUUGCUCUACCGUCUUUGUUGAGUAGCGAACGGGUGAGUAACGCGUGGGUAACCUGCCUUAUAGCGGGGAUAACUAUUGGAAACGAUAGCUAAUACCGCAUAACAAUAGAGAUUGCAUAAUCUUUAUUUGAAAGUGCCAACUGGUACACUAUGAGAUGGACCCGCGUUGUAUUAGCUAGUUGGUAGUGUAAUGGACUACCAAGGCGAUGAUACAUAGCCGACCUGAGAGGGUGAUCGGCCACAUUGGGACUGAGACACGGCCCAAACUCCUACGGGAGGCAGCAGUAGGGAAUCUUCGGCAAUGGACGAAAGUCUGACCGAGCAACGCCGCGUGAGUGAAGAAGGUUUUCGGAUCGUAAAACUCUGUUGUUAGAGAAGAAUGUUGAUUAGAGUGGAAAAUUAAUCAAGUGACGGUAUCUAACCAGAAAGGGACGGCUAACUACGUG